rnacentral:rRNA from 1 species
CCUAAGGUAGCGAAAUUCCUUGUCGGGUAAGUUCCGACCUGCACGAAUGGCGUAAUGAUGGCCAGGCUGUCUCCACCCGAGACUCAGUGAAAUUGAACUCGCUGUGAAGAUGCAGUGUACCCGCGGCAAGACGGAAAGACCCCGUGAACCUUUACUAUAGCUUGACACUGAACAUUGAGCCUUGAUGUGUAGGAUAGGUGGGAGGCUUUGAAGUGUGGACGCCAGUCUGCAUGGAGCCGACCUUGAAAUACCACCCUUUAAUGUUUGAUGUUCUAACGUUGGCCCCUAAUCGGGGUUGCGGACAGUGUCUGGUGGGUAGUUUGACUGGGGCGGUCUCCUCCUAAAGAGUAACGGAGGAGCACGAAGGUUGGCUAAUCCUGGUCGGACAUCAGGAGGUUAGUGCAAUGGCAUAAGCCAGCUUGACUGCGAGCGUGACGGCGCGAGCAGGUGCGAAAGCAGGUCAUAGUGAUCCGGUGGUUCUGAAUGGAAGGGCCAUCGCUCAACGGAUAAAAGGUACUCCGGGGAUAACAGGCUGAUACCGCCCAAGAGUUCAUAUCGACGGCGGUGUUUGGCACCUCGAUGUCGGCUCAUCACAUCCUGGGGCUGAAGUAGGUCCCAAGGGUAUGGCUGUUCGCCAUUUAAAGUGGUACGCGAGCUGGGUUUAGAACGUCGUGAGACAGUUCGGUCCCUAUCUGCCGUGGGCGCUGGAGAACUGAGGGGGGCUGCUCCUAGUACGAGAGGACCGGAGUGGACGCAUCACUGGUGUUCGGGUUGUCAUGCCAAUGGCACUGCCCGGUAGCUAAAUGCGGAAGAGAUAAGUGCUGAAAGCAUCUAAGCACGAAACUUGCCCCGAGAUGAGUUCUCCCUGACUCCCUGAGAGUCCUGAAGGAACGUUGAAGACGACGACGUUGAUAGGCCGGGUGUGUAAGCGCAGCGAUGCGUUGAGCUAACCGGUACUAAUGAACCGUGAGGCUUAACCUU